GACGAACGCUGGCGGCGUGCUUAACACAUGCAAGUCGAACGGUAAGGCCCUUUCGGGGGUACACGAGUGGCGAACGGGUGAGUAACACGUGGGUGAUCUGCCCUGCACUUUGGGAUAAGCCUGGGAAGCUGGGUCUAAUACCGGAUAGGACUACGCGAUGCAUGUCGUGUGGUGGAAAGCUUUUGCGGUGUGGGAUGGGCCCGCGGCCUAUCAGCUUGUUGGUGGGGUGAUGGCCUACCAAGGCGACGACGGGUAGCCGGCCUGAGAGGGUGUCCGGCCACACUGGGACUGAGAUACGGCCCAGACUCCUACGGGAGGCAGCAGUGGGGAAUAUUGCACAAUGGGCGCAAGCCUGAUGAAGCGACGCCGCGUGGGGGAUGACGGCCUUCGGGUUGUAAGCCCCUUUCAGCACAGACGAAGCGUAAGUGACGGUAUGUGCAGAAGAAGCACCGGCCAACUACGUG
rnacentral:rRNA from 1 species